rnacentral:rRNA from 1 species
UUUUAUUUGAGAGUUUGAUCCUGGCUCAGGAUGAACGCUGGCGGCGUGCCUAACACAUGCAAGUUGAGCGAUUUACUUCGGUAAAGAGCGGCGGACGGGUGAGUAACGCGUGGGUAACCUACCCUGUACACACGGAUAACAUACCGAAAGGUAUGCUAAUACGGGAUAAUAUAUUUGAGAGGCAUCUCUUGAAUAUCAAAGGUGAGCCAGUACAGGAUGGACCCGCGUCUGAUUAGCUAGUUGGUAAGGUAACGGCUUACCAAGGCGACGAUCAGUAGCCGACCUGAGAGGGUGAUCGGCCACAUUGGAACUGAGACACGGUCCAAACUCCUACGGGAGGCAGCAGUGGGGAAUAUUGCACAAUGGGCGAAAGCCUGAUGCAGCAACGCCGCGUGAGUGAUGAAGGCCUUCGGGUCGUAAAACUCUGUCCUCAAGGAAGAUAAUGACGGUACUUGAGGAGGAAGCCCCGGCUAACUACGUGCCAGCAGCCGCGGUAAUACGUAGGGGGCUAGCGUUAUCCGGAUUUACUGGGCGUAAAGGGUGCGUAGGCGGUCUUUCAAGUCAGGAGUGAAAGGCUACGGCUCAACCGUAGUAAGCUCUUGAAACUGGGAGACUUGAGUGCAGGAGAGGAGAGUGGAAUUCCUAGUGUAGCGGUGAAAUGCGUAGAUAUU